rnacentral:rRNA from 1 species
CUAAACAAAUAGAUAAAUUAAUUAAUUAUAAUAGGGUUUUUCAUAAAGUUAACAAAAAUUAAAAUAAAAAACUUUAUAAAAAUAUAUUUACAAAAAGAACUGAAACAUCUUAGUAUAUUGAUACCAAAAAAAGAAUUGAAAGUAAUGGCGAAUGAAAUCAAUUCCUAAAAGAUUCUAAAGAAAAAAUGAAUUUCACAAAGGUAAAAUGAAAAACACCUAUAAAGAAAGUACCGUGAGGGAAAUAGAAAUCAAUUAAUUAAUAAAAAAUAAUGAAAAACAUUUACCUUUUGUAUAAUGGACUUAUAAGAAAAAAGGUUUGUAAGCUAAAAGGCUAAAAAAAUUACGAAUAAAUAAACCUUACCCGAAACCAAACGAUCUAAUUGUGGACAACUUUAAGAGUUAAUCAAUAAAUGUAGAAUAAUUUUUGAGAGAUUUGCAAUUAGCAGCGAAAAACUAAUCGAGUUUGGAUAUAGCUGGUUUUCUACGAAAUUUAUUUAAGUAAAACCCCUUAGGCGAGGGUUAAAGAUAUUUAAUUCAAACAUUAAAUAUCAAAAAGUAAACAAACUUAAUCAGAAAUGAAGAUGUUGAAUCAUUUAUAAUAAAAUAACUUAAACAUAAAAACAACAAAAAAGUAGGAUUAGAAACAGCCAUCUUUAAAAAAGUACGUAAAAGUUUUUUUGUUAAAAGAAUUAAGUUCAAAAUUUAACACUAAAAAUGAAUCAAAAUUCUGAAUAUUAGAGUAGUAGAAUAUAUUGUAUUAUAAAUUGAAAAACUAACAAUAGAAAUCAUAUAAGUAUGAGUAAAACAAAAGAUAUACCCAAGAAUUCUUAUUUUAAUUCAUGAAUAAGUAAAGACAGAUUCUCAAUAAAUAAGGAAUUCUAACUAAAAAAAUUAAAAGAAAAAAUAGUUAAAAAAAAACUGUAUCGAUCUAAAUCAAGAGGGUAUAAAAAUAAAAAGAAAUUUUACUUAAGGAACUCGGCAAAAUUAAUAUCGACUGUUUACCAAAAACAUAGCCCUCGUAAAAAUCGAAGGUGUGACCUGCCCAAUGAUUAUUAAUUCAAAAGACUUGAAAAAUCUUAAAAAUAAUUAAACGGACGCGGUAACCUGACCGUGGUAAUGUAGCAUAAUCAAUCGCCAUUUAAUUGAUGGAUAGUAUGAAUGGUUAAACGAAUAUUACACUGUCUCAAGUAAAAAUUUUAUGAAAUUAAGAUAAUAGUUAAGACGCUAUUUCAAACUGUAAGACGAAAAGACCCUAUAGAGCUUAACUAUAAACUUUUUUGAUAAAGAUCAUCAAAAAAUGAUUAUAAAAGAAAGUUAGGUAGUUUAGUUGGGGCGACUGUCUUCUAAAAAGAACGAAGACUAGCAAAGUUAAUAAAAAUAACUUAUUGUUUAAUAAAUUUAUUUAACAAUUACAAAAGUAGGCUAUAAUGACCCAUUGAACUUAAGAAAGUAAAUCAAUGAUUAAAAAAUAAAAGCUACCUUAGGGAUAACAGGAUAAUUUUGUUUUAGAGAUCAUAUCGAAGACAAAGUUUGUCACCUCUAUGUUGAAUUGAGAUAUCCUGAUAAUGCAGAAGUUAUCAAAGGUAGGUCUGUUCGACCUUUAAAAUCUCACAUGAUUUGAGUUCAUUCCGUCGCAAGACAGGAAGGUUUCUAUCUACAGUUAUUAAAAAUAAAAAAGAGACUUUUAGUACGAAAGGAAAAAAGCUACUCGAAAACAAGACACAAGAAAACUUGAUUGAAGCUAAAACACUAGAAUGAAUAUCUAA